AUGACUGCGCGCGGGACUCCACUUCUUGGCCAGUGCUCUCCACAACGGACUGGGUCGCUACGCGCAGCAGCUGCAGAGUCGGAGCUUCAGUGUCAGCCGCGACGGCCCCUCGUGUCGCAGCGCCAGGGGGUUUGUGGAACGGGAGGUGAUCGACUUCGCCCGACGGAACCCAGGGGUCGUAACAUACGUGAGCUCGCGUCCGUGCUGCGUGCCCACAGUAGUGGCCGAAUACCUUAACGGGGCUGUGCGCUAGGAGAGCACCCACUGCAAGUCGGUGGAGGAGAUCUCGACGCUGGUGCAGAAGCUGGCCAACCAGUCGGGCUUGGAUGUGAUCCGCAUCCGCAAGCCCUUCCACACCGACAACCCUAGCAUCCAGGGCCCGUGGCACCCCUUCACCAACAAAUCGACCACGUUCCACGGGCUACGCCCCCGAGAGGUCCAGGAUCCUGCCUCAGCCCAGCUCCAAGCACCGUGAAGAGUUGCCCCACCAACUCCAACCCCAGGUAGACAAAUGGAACCCAUUAGUGGGGAAGCUGACACGGGUUCUGCUUGGGAUAAAGAAGAGCUGCCUAUCUAUUUCCAGUGCCUGCUUCUGGGGGCAGUGACCUUUGUGAACCCUUAAUUUUUAUCCAAGUGGCAUCGCUAAAACCUGAGAUGAGGAAGACUUCAAGGGUUUUACAGGACCUUUGUUUUUGAAGUCCAAAUUAAUAAUAAUGUUCUCAAAACACAAUGAGAGGUCUCAAGGCUGGCUUCUGAAGAAUCCCUGAUAUCUUAUUGGUACAACCGAGCUAUAGAGAGAUCUCCUCUGCUGUGAUGGGCUAGGCACUUUAUAUCUGUGUGAAUGUUUGUUUAAGGAUUUAUAAAACCGAGGUUAAUAAACUUACCCAAGGUCAUUUCA